rnacentral:rRNA from 1 species
AAUGAACGCUGGCGGCAUGCCUUACACAUGCAAGUCGAACGGCAGCAUGACCUGGCUUGCUAGGUUGAUGGCGAGUGGCGAACGGGGGAGUAAUGCAUCGGAGCGUGCCUUUUAGUGGGGGGUAACGUAGCGAAAGUUACGCUAAUACCGCAUAUUCUCUGUGGAGGAAAGCAGGGGACCUUCGGGCCUUGCGCUAGAAGAGCGGCCGAUGUCGGAUUAGCUAGUUGGUGAGGUAAAGGCUCACCAAGGCAACGAUCCGUAGCGGGUCUGAGAGGAUGAUCCGCCACACUGGGACUGAGACACGGCCCAGACUCCUACGGGAGGCAGCAGUGGGGAAUUUUGGACAAUGGGCGCAAGCCUGAUCCAGCCAUGCCGCGUGAGUGAAGAAGGCCUUCGGGUUGUAAAGCUCUUUCGGCUGGGAAGAAAUCGCACCCUCUAAUACAGGGUGUGGAUGACGGUACCAGCAUAAGAAGCACCGGCUAACUACGUG